GACAGAGGGUGCAAACGUUGUUCGGAAUUACUGGGCGUAAAGCGCGUGUAGGCGGCUCUGCAAGUCGGAUGUGAAAUCCCACGGCUCAACCAUGGAAGUGCAUUCGAAACUGCAGGGCUAGAGUCCUGGAGAGGAAGGUGGAAUGCUUGGUGUAGAGGUGAAAUUCGUAGAUAUUAGGAAGAACACCAGUGGCGAAGGCGGCUCACUGGUCCGGUACUGACGCUGAGGUGCGAAAGCGUGGGGAGCAAACAGG
rnacentral:rRNA from 1 species